rnacentral:rRNA from 1 species
UACAGAGGUCUCAAGCUUUGUUCGGAUUCAUUGGGCGUAACGGGUGCGUAGGCGGCGCGGUAAGUCGGGUGUGAAAUCUCGGAGCUUAACUCCGAAACUGCAUUCGAUACUGCCGUGCUUGAGGACUGGAGAGGAGACUGGAAUUUACGGUGUAGCGGUGAAAUGCGUAGAUAUCGUAAGGAAGACCAGUGGCGAAGGCGGGUCUCUGGACAGUUCCUGACGCUGAGGCACGAAGGUCAGGGGAGCAAACGGG